CGACCGGCGCACGGGUGAGUAACGCGUAUGCAACCUGCCCGUUUCAGCGGGAUAACCCGGAGAAAUCCGGCCUAAUACCGCAUGUGGCCGAGGGGAGGCAUCUUCUUUCGGCCAAAGGAGGCGACUCCGGAGACGGAUGGGCAUGCGUGACAUUAGCUUGUUGGCGGGGUAACGGCCCACCAAGGCGACGAUGCGUAGGGGUUCUGAGAGGAAGGUCCCCCACACUGGUACUGAGACACGGACCAGACUCCUACGGAAGGCAGCAG
rnacentral:rRNA from 1 species